GGGUUUUCAAAAUAACCCGAGAAUUUCCCGGAGGCGUUUUGAUGGCCUAAUACACACUGACGUGUGUACAGUCAUCCCCUCUCAUGAAAUGGGGAUUAGUUCCAGGACCCCGUAGACACCAGAAUCCGCAGACGGUCAAGUCCCUUAUGUAAAAUGGAACCAGAACCACAGAAUACAACAGCCAAAAAGGAAACAUGGACCACUAUCCUUUGAAAAAAAA
rnacentral:lncRNA from 10 species